rnacentral:rRNA from 1 species
ACUAACAGGAUUCCCCUAGUAACUGCGAGUGAAGCGGGAAGAGCUCAAAUUUAAAAUCUGGCGGUUUUUUGUUGCCGUCCGAGUUGUAAUUUAGAGAAGCGUUUUCCGUGCCGGACCGUGUACAAGUCUCCUGGAACGGAGCGUCAUAGAGGGUGAGAAUCCCGUCUUUGACACGGAUGCCCGGUGCUCUGUGAUACGCUCUCGAAGAGUCGAGUUGUUUGGGAAUGCAGCUCAAAAUGGGUGGUGAACUCCAUCUAAAGCUAAAUAUUGGCGAGAGACCGAUAGCGAACAAGUACCGUGAGGGAAAGAUGAAAAGCACUUUGAAAAGAGAGUGAAACAGUACGUGAAAUUGCUGAAAGGGAAACGCUUGAAGUCAGUCGCGUCCGUCGGGAUUCAGCCGUAAUGGUGUACUUUCCGACGGACGGGCCAGCAUCGUUUUUGAUCGCCGGAAAAGGGCGGAAGGAAUGUGGCACCUCCGGGUGUGUUAUAGCCUUCCGUCGUAUACGACGGUCGGGAGCGAGGAACGCCUUUUUUUUGUAGGAUGCUGGCGUAAUGGCUUUAAACGACCCGUCUUGAAACACGGACCAAGGAGUCUAACAUGCCCGCGAGUGUUCGGGUGGAAAACCCGUGCGCGUAAUGAAAGUGAAAGUUGGGAAGGCUGUCGUGGCCUGCACCGACGCCCGGACCUGAGAUUUAUCGACGGUUCUGCGGUAGAGCGUGUAUGUUGGGACCCGAAAGAUGGUGAACUAUGCCUGAAUAGGGUGAAGCCAGAGGAAACUCUGGUGGAGGCUCGUAGCGAUUCUGACGUGCAAAUCGAUCGUCAAAUUUGGGUAUAGGGGCGAAAGACUAAU